CGCCGCCACCGAGCGACGCAGUGCCGUCGGGACGCUCGACCGAAUGAUACGGCCUUCGCAAAGGGGUAUUUUUCGCCGGCCGCCAUAUCUCGCUCGGCAAUCCGCUUGACUACCGCACCGAGAAGCAGCCAGGAAGAGAAAGAGAGACAAAGAUAAAUAGAGAGAGAGAGAGAGAGAGAGAGAGAGAGAGAGGGAGCAGCAAGAAGAGCAGUACUAACCCUGAGAAAGAGAAGGAAGACAUCGGAGAGAAAUCAGCCCACCGGCCGGGGAUAUUGUCCUGUCACAGCAGUACGCCUUUAAAGAGUUACUGGUGUGAUGGGACAUUGUCCUCGUCCUGGUGAUCCACUUCCAACCGUGUCGUCGUCGUCGUCAUCGUCGUCGUCGUCGUCACCAUCGAGACUCGUCGAAACAUACAGAAUGUGGAAAGUGUAUUAUCGGUUAUAAGUCGAAUUGGUGUCGCGCGCUUUCGCUAGACGUUUCUCGCGAUCGAGAAGGGGACGACGGAGGGUGAAAAAACUAGUGGGGAUUUUUUAUGUUUGCGGUGAAUCUUUGCGAACGGAAACGAGAAGGAAACGCCCGAACGCGACUAGACUAUUGUGCCACGUCGACACCGACAUCCCAGAUAGGCCUGGACAAGACCAUAGGGUUUUUAACUCUCGUUAAUUAUUACAUCGUUCUCGAUACUCGUCAGCGUGGACACACCAUGGUACAGCGAUGGUGUUUCCAGUCGAUAAGGCAGCUUCCGAGAGGCGCGGCUGCUCGCUACCCUGGUCGAUUCAAGGACUCGUUCUCGUUGUCUUUCUCGCAGUCAACAGUUCUUUUUUCGUCUCUCUUUUUUUUUUAAUGUAGCAAACACGGAAUUAUUUUAGAAGGUGAUGACAAUCGUUUUCGCACAAUUAGUUUGUCCUACAGGAAGACCAUUCGAAUCGCCAAGGAUCACGAAAUCACGGCGAAUGAUAAAGGCGUUCCGUUAUCGGGACGCAUCUACGUUGUGCCUAUAGCCCGCAAAAUGGCCGGAGCGCGUCCGUGGAUAUUCCUGCGCGUUAUCGUCGCGCAGUGACCUCUCGUCGAGGAAUAACAUCGCGUGUCGUUCGUAUUAAUCCGGAAAAUGCGAAUCCGGUUUGCGACCGGUCGCCGCCCGGAUACGCUCCGGAAAUUCUCUCGUUCAUCAUCGAUCGCGUGAUGGGUUACCCGAUCGAAACUCGGAACCGAAAGAAGGUCGUAGGUUGUAACAUAGUUUCGGUGGAGGUCGGAUGUGUCUACUCGUCACUCGUGCAAGAUCGAUACUCGAAUAGGCAGAAGAUUCGCGAAGGGCAAGUUUCGCUCCGGCCGGCUGAUUUCGCGUGAAACCGCGAAAAAAUUGACUGAAACGGUCAAUUGACCGAGUCAAUCCAAGAAAUGCGAUGAAAUUCGAAGAUUCAUCGAGAGAUUUAUUUUUACGAUCGUCAUUUGAUACUCUUCGUGACGUGUGCUUCGAUCCUUCGCGCUGUCAAGUAAUCAAAGAUUAAAAGGCUGCGGCGCGGCCAUAGUUUAUUUAUCCUCUUCUAUUAAUCCCCCGCACCUACAAUAACCGCGCCACGGCCAUUUACUGAGUAAUGAAUCGGCCCUGUUUCCGUUUACGACUUAGCACACGAAAUUGGAGCGACGCUACAAAGGGGUGGCGAACAACGGGGUCGAUGAAAAGGUUAACGCUAGGUUGAGGUCGAUCGUAAGCCUUCUGUCACUACUCUCUUUUCCCUCUUUCUCUGUUUAUUAUCUCCUACCCUUUUGCAAUUCCAACUUCGACGUGGAAGAAGUGGCCUUUGCUAAAUGCAGAUCUCGACUCGGUUAUCGUUUCAUCAAAAAUUCACAGUCUACCCAUUCUCAGAAAGUGAUCGCUUUGAUCGUAGUAUUACAAAAAAAAAGGAGAACAAAUCCGAGGAUCUCAUCAGACACUGUAAACAAUGAGCCUUGGUACAGGUUUCUGGUGAAACCGAAACGAUAAAACGGACUAUUUGUCCAUACUUGGGAUAAUACGUUUUAGUGUGGUAAUUUUUUUGUUAUUUUGGAAAAAUCAAAAAAUAGUUCUGUUGCCGAGCCAAAAACAUCAUUGCUAAUUUGAUCCGCAUUAUCUUUGAUCCAGUUUUUUUUCGACCGUAGGUGUUAGGCAAUAUUGGAUAUCGAUUUAUAUUUUUCACUAACUUAUAUUUAGAUUCGACCAAGUUUUAUUCUUCAAUUAUAGAUCCUACAAAAAUAUCGUUCCUCUAUAUAUUCGAUUGAACGAGAUUUCAGAGAAAGAAUAUUUUGUAAUCUAUCCGAUGAGAUUUCCAUCCGAGAUAAGAAGAGAAGUUUUGCAUGCAAACUUGAACAUUCACGCAAAUUGCUUCAGCUUCUUUCAUGAAAGUUCAACGAAGAAGAAAUUUUCUUCCACGGCCAUUGAUCUUGCUUCGUAUAAUCCGUAGUAUCGCCGUAUUCUUUGUACAAUAUUCUUAGAUUACGAUAAUUCAGAAACUGUAUUGCCGGAUGUGCAUCUGCAGCACUCUCAUCUUUUAUUCAGUACCUUCGAAGUGCAUCGUGUGUCUCGACGGCUACAAUCGACGGUGCACGAGCAAAGAUCGAGGAGUCGUGAGAUAAAGUCGGGGAUCUUGUCUUCAAUUUUAUCCCGUGACUCCCCGGAUGUUUGCCUCAGAAUGAAGAAUUCCAAAGCCAGUGCAUAUUCGGUAUAAUGAAACGUCGAGUCGGAAAAGAGAGAGACGAAUUUAUUUCAGAAGACAAAGACGCGUUCUCGCCCUCGAAUGACCGAACGAAUAGUGGCCGGACGCUAUUUCCUUUAGAGAUUUGAUUAGUUGUCGUAUUAACCGGGCGAGGCGUGUCGAAAGAGCAACAAGCCCUAUCAACAUGACUGCUCCGCGUCAGGCCACGUUGAUAAAACUACUGAGGUUGGAUUUCGCAUGGUUGCUAGUGGUGAUGCGGUGGUGGUCGUGUGUUCGUCGUGGAGGAUACAAGUGUGGGGAAUACGGACGGAAGACCGGUGGACGUUGGGGUGGGUUUGUCGUGCAACCCUCCCGAUCCCCGCGCAGGUGGCUCAGGGCACCGCCGUCAGGCGGCAGCACCGCCUCUGUCCGAGGAGGAACGCUCCUCGCAGCGGUGCCAGGAAGCGAAUUGCUGGCAUAGGGUUAUUCGCACAGGGUGAUCCACGGAUGUUCCUUGGCGAAGAACUUAACAUCGGGAGAAGAAAAAGGGGUUCGAGAUGCAGAGAGAAAGCUCGGUGUGCCUUAUCAUCGCGGAGGAACGUGGUCCAUGGAAAAAGAAAGGGAGAGAAGGGGAAAGGACUCGCCAUGUUUAAAUCCCUUUGAUAGAGUUCACCAAAUGGGAACCGGCUAUUCAUCUGGACAAUCGCUAUAGACUGAUGAGACACGAACCGAUGCUAGAUGCUGACGGUAACAAGACCCAUGAGAUUGGAAGCGAUCAUUAGGCGCGAGAAGAAAUGGAAGAAAUCGCGAAUUGAAUCGUUCCGAAUUUACUUGCAAUUAUUGUAGGACAUUGUAACAACAAUGGCAUUUAAUGAUGAUUCUUGAGUGAAUAAAAUGACAUUGAAAUCGUUAA